GGUUGCAUAGCUCAAUUGGAUAGAGCAUCUGACUACGAAUCAGAAGGUUUGGGGUUCGACUCCCUAUGCGACCACAA
rnacentral:tRNA from 1 species